rnacentral:piRNA from 1 species
UAGAGCGUAAUUUUCAAACAG